rnacentral:lncRNA from 1 species
CUACUACACACUGAAAAAAAAAAAACACUUCCCAUCCAACCAAGUAAACAAUGAUGCUUGCUGGCUUUUCUAAAAGUGAUGCUUGUUGCGCACUAUCAACAGCUGGUGCUUCAGCUGGCCUCUCGUCUUGUCGAUCCGAUGUUGUACUUUGCUCCUUUUGCAUAGCAGUUUCCAUCGCUGCAUAAUAAGCCAAAGCAGUCGGAACACCAAGAAACACACUCAUCAAUUGGUUAGAUUUAUCUCCCCGUGAUGCCAUUUAUCCAAAUUACAUAGAGCGUGAUGCCAUUUCAAAGCUCCUCUAAACAUAUCUUGCCCCAAACAAGAUGAACAAAACUUGCCUCAACUGAGAGCAUUGGGCGCCAUCGACAAACCCAGUUUAGCUAGUUCGUGAGCUACUUUAAUACAAUGAAAUUACUUGAGACUUGAGAGAAAGUAUUUGGGGCUCCUAGAUAAAGAGCAUCAGUAGGAGCAAAGUCAGACCAUUGGUCUGCAAUGCCUUCUUCAGAUUUAAUUCAGUGCAUCGGUCUUCAAGAUCUUCCUGUUCC